rnacentral:rRNA from 1 species
GAUGAACGCUGGCGGCGUGCCUAAUACAUGCAAGUCGAGCGAACAGACGAGGAGCUUGCUCCUCUGACGUUAGCGGCGGACGGGUGAGUAACACGUGGAUAACCUACCUAUAAGACUGGGAUAACUUCGGGAAACCGGAGCUAAUACCGGAUAAUAUAUUGAACCGCAUGGUUCAAUAGUGAAAGACGGUUUUGCUGUCACUUAUAGAUGGAUCCGCGCCGCAUUAGCUAGUUGGUAAGGUAACGGCUUACCAAGGCAACGAUGCGUAGCCGACCUGAGAGGGUGAUCGGCCACACUGGAACUGAGACACGGUCCAGACUCCUACGGGAGGCAGCAGUAGGGAAUCUUCCGCGAUGGGCGAGAGCCUGACGGAGCAACGCCGCGUGAGUGAUGAAGGUCUUCGGAUCGUAAAACUCUGUUAUUAGGGAAGAACAAAUGUGUAAGUAACUAUGCACGUCUUGACGGUACCUAAUCAGAAAGCCACGGCUAACUACGUG